GAUGAACGCUGGCGGCGUGCCUAAUACAUGCAAGUCGAGCGAACAGAUGAGGAGCUUGCUCCUCUGACGUUAGCGGCGGACGGGUGAGUAACACGUGGAUAACCUACCUAUAAGACUGGGAUAACUUCGGGAAACCGGAGCUAAUACCGGAUAAUAUAUUGAACCGCAUGGUUCAAUAGUGAAAGACGGUUUUGCUGUCACUUAUAGAUGGAUCCGCGCCGCAUUAGCUAGUUGGUAAGGUAACGGCUUACCAAGGCAACGAUGCGUAGCCGACCUGAGAGGGUGAUCGGCCACACUGGAACUGAGACACGGUCCAGACUCCUACGGGAGGCAGCAGUAGGGAAUCUUCCGCAAUGGGCGAAAGCCUGACGGAGCAACGCCGCGUGAGUGAUGAAGGUCUUCGGUCGUAAAACUCUGUUAUUAGGGAAGAACAAAUGUGUAAGUAACUAUGCACGUCUUGACGGUACCUAAUCAGAAAGCCACGGCUAACUACGUG
rnacentral:rRNA from 1 species